rnacentral:ncRNA from 1 species
UUAACAUACUAGGGGUGCUUUUAUAAAAAGCUGAGAGAGAAGUGAUAGUCUUCGAACCCUUUGAACCUGAUCUGUUGCAAACAGCGUAGGAAAGUAUGAAUUAUAUGAA